rnacentral:rRNA from 1 species
UACGUAGGGUGCGAGCGUUCAUCGGAAUUACUGGGCGUAAAGCGUGCGCAGGCGGUUUUGUAAGCCAGAUGUGAAAGCCCCGGGCUUAACCUGGGAAUGGCAUUUGGGACUGCAAGGCUUGAGUGCGGCAGAGGAGACUGGAAUUCCUGGUGUAGCAGUGAAAUGCGUAGAUAUCAGGAGGAAUACCGGUGGCGAAGGCGGGUCUCUGGGCCGAUACUGACGCUGAGGAGCGAAAGCGUGGGGAGCGAACAGG